GUGUCAGCAGCCGCGGUAAUACGAAGGGGGCUAGCGUUGCUCGGAUUGACUGGGCGUAAAGGGCGCGUAGGCGGUUCGUACAGUCAGACGUGAAAUUCCUGGGCUCAACCUGGGGGCUGCGUUUGAUACGUGCGGGCUUGAGUUCGGAAGAGGGUCGUGGAAUUCCCAGUGUAGAGGUGAAAUUCGUAGAUAUUGGGAAGAACACCGGUGGCGAAGGCGGCGACCUGGUCCGAUACUGACGCUGAGGCGCGAAAGCGUGGGGAGCAAACAGGAUUAGAUACCCUGGUAGUCCACGCCGUAAACGAUGUGCGCUGGAUGUUGGGUGACAUAGUCACUCAGUGUCGUAGCUAACGCGAUAAGCGCACCGCCUGGGGAGUACGGCCGCAAGGUUGAA
rnacentral:rRNA from 1 species